GUCCACGCCCUAAACGAUGGCAACUGGGUGUCGGGGAAGCGAUUCCUUGGUACCGUAGCUAACGCGUGAAGUUGCCCGCCUGGGGAGUACGGCCGCAAGGUUAAAACUCAAAGGAAUUGACGGGGACCCGCACAAGCGGUGGAUGAUGUGGAUUAAUUCGAUGCAACGCGAACAACAUUACCUACCCUUGACAUGUCUGGAAGCCUGGUGAGAGCUGGGUGUGCCCGAAAGGGAACCGGAACACAGGUGCUGCAUGGCUGUCGU
rnacentral:rRNA from 1 species